rfam:Alligator mississippiensis ScZkoYb_434.1, whole genome shotgun sequence.
GACACAUGAUGUUUGUUCUCACGAUGGUCUUCCAAGUCCCAGUGGUGAAGGGGCUUUGACGACAGCUGCCAAAUGGCCUUACUGAUGUCAGGAA